rnacentral:lncRNA from 1 species
UCUCGCUCAUGAGUUUCAAAGGCGGUGAUUUCGGCGGGAGUAGCAAUUUCGGGGUUGAUUUUCUCGAGCUUCUCAUCGAGGACAUACUCCUUAUCCUCAUAGCGAGCAAUGGUGCGAAUGUAUCUUAUCCAUUCGCUAAAGUUCGUUCCAUCGAAGGUGACCUUUUGGCAAAGGCUCAUCAACGUGAAAGAACUAGCAGCAGCGUUGUUUGCGUUCGACAUCUACAAUUAGAAAAGGACAAAGAUAGAUUAGAAUAAGAAUCCCUAAUUAUCACCCAAUAAGAAAAUUAGGGCUAGGAUCCAACAAUAACAUUUACAUACUAGAAAAGGGAUGCCGUAAUCUAACAUGCAAAUAAAUUGAAGGUAAGUGAAUGACGAUUCACUAAUUCUCCAUCACAAAACUUAAACUAUUAGUCCUAAGUGUUUUUGAGAAUUCCUAGGUUCGGAUGAGAUUCAUUGAAACUAUUCAAUGGCAUGUUUAAAUCUCGAUAUGCCCCUCUUGUUUGUGACUGGGAUGCCGAGGAUCACAAAGCGGGUGUGAAUUACCAUGCAAAUUCACAUGGUGCCUUCAUUGUAACAAUCACCUAUUCGAUGUGCCGGUAAACCACACACGCUCCAUCGAACUAUGAUAAACAAUGAAUCACCCUUUGCCACCUUCGCUUAGAACCAAUUAGUGUGCCGGUAAACCACACACGCUCCACUAACAUCUUAGCAAGGUGCAAAGUGUAAUUUCAUGGGAUUGCAUCAAUUCACUUUUCCUAAAGUAACUAGGAUUGGGAAAUUUUAAAAAAAUGUGUAGUUACUUUAUAUUUCUUAUUAUACUUUUAAUGAGAGGAUGAGGUUGCCCUAUCCUACCCGUUCGGCUAACGACCCUCCACCAAUCAAGCAAGCGGUGGGUGUGAGUGUACACCCAUUAAGCGCCAUUUUAUAGGCCGCAACCUUAUACCCACCUUAUAGAUCGGCUUCGUGAAUGAGGCCUACUAACGGUAAGACUAGCAUUUAGUUAUACAUAUAUAUAUUAUUCUAGUAAUAUCAUAUUAGUAUAGGGUUGUAUUUUAAAACUUUUAAAAUCUAGGGUUUGAAAUUUAAGUUGUCUAAAUUAAAACUUUUAAUCACAAAAGUAAAUUUCAAAACAUGAGGGUAGGUUUUAAACAUUUAAAACAUGGAGGAUCAAAUAACAAAUAAUUCCAAUUAACAAUUAAUAUCCUAAUUAUCUAUAUUUGAUUUAUUCAAGAUUUCUUUUAAAGAUAAUUACCAAAAUAAUCAAAAUAAUUAAUUAAUUAUCAUAUAAGGAAAUUAAAUAUUUAAUUAGUUGAUAAUUACCUUUAACUAGAUCAAGAUAAUAGUUAUAUUUAUCAGAAAAACGAAUUAAUGUUGAUCUAAUUAGUUUAUGGUAAGUUAAGAUAAGAUAAACACAAAGAAAUCCCGAAUCUGGCCAUUCCUGACGCCUGGACUCGCCGAGUGCACAAAUGGACUCGCCGAGUCAGGCCUACUCGCCGAGUCCACUUUGAGACUCGCCGAGUCCAUGACUCAGAAACCAAAAAUUCGAAUUUUGCAGGUUUGUUUCAGUUAAUCAAGCAACAAUUUACAGAAAACCAAGCUAGGCUCUGAUACCACUGAUGGGUUUUAGCCAUAAGAACUUUCCUAUGUGCGCAUGCAAAACCCUAAUGCUUGGAUCUAGGCUUUCUAAUAAACAUGCUUUGAAUCCAAGACUUCUAAUUACUAAUUAGGUUAAACAAGAACAUUAAAACAGAUCUAGAAUCAUACCUUUGAGUUCCUUGUUGAUCUUGAGGUCUUGGAGCUUCUAGAGUCACAAAUGUCACUCCUCUAAUGGCUUACAAACACCAAAGCAAGGAGGAUGAUUUGGGAGAGAGGAGAGGGGAGGAAUUUCGACCAGAGGUUCCUUACUUUAGGUCAAGUGUCGAAUUCCAUCAGCCAUGGGGUCUAUUUAUACUUGUAGACUCCUUAAGGAUUACAGAUAAGUCCCUAUCAGAUAAUCUUCUCUUAAGGCUAUCCAAAUCCAUUCCUAGAUAACUCUAAUGGACGAUUUUAGCUAUCCUAAUCCUCUUAGAAUUCGUCCAUAGUAUAUCCAAAUGGAUUUACAGUUUAAAGCUUAACUAUCAAACAAUUGACAGUUUAUACCCCUUUAUUUAAUUAAUCUCUUUAAGUCACCAAAUUAAUUCUAAUUAAUUCUAUGACUUAUAUUAAUCAAAUAACAAAUAUAUUAUUCAUUAUAUUAUUCCCAUAAUAUAUUAAUAAUAUUUAUUCUCUCUUAAUAAAUCAUCCUAUCAAGUUGCUAUGGUGAAGGCAACCCAAAAGGACCAUGCACAACCGGAUAUAGUUACAGCCUUAGACACUAUUCCAACAGUCUCCCACUUGGAUAAGUCUAGUAACUAUACAAGUACAAUUCGGUUUGCAAUCGUAGCUCUCAAAGACGCUGUCAACUCUGAUCUAAUCAAUCUUGUCCUUUAGAUAAGGGAACGUACAGUCCUCUGUUAGAUAUCAUGCUGACAAUCCUAUGGAAUGGUUAGUCAAGCAUUUAGGUUUCUCGAUCUCUGAUUUAUUUGACAUAGAACUUAAUCGAACACAUCAAUUCAGUUCUGACCGGGCCCGGCACAUAAGUCAAAUCAAAUCAUCGAGCGGCCGAGAUAUCGCUUUUACCUUCUUAGAUAAAAGUUACAGAUAAACUUCGACUUAUAUGCAUUUACUUAUUCAUUAACCAACUAUACACAACAAUACGUUUUAUAACACCAAGUUACUGAUGCGUUUUCGUAUUAUCAAUGUACAAUCAAUUAACAAAUAAUAAACCAUAUAUCUAGGUUUUAAGACUAUAUGAUAUUAUCGUCUUGCGAUCACCUUUUAUAUCGUAUUCCAUAAGGUGAUUCCAGCAAGCGCGGGUUUAUUCCAAUGCUCAAAACUAGUUCAUAAGCACUCAUGAACGUUGCAGCAAUCCUUUGCUAUGUCUAACACCAUUUAGACAUUCUACACACCAAUUCAUGACAAUCUUCUUUCAUAUCUACUCCCAACAUAUGAACGAUUGUGGACCAUUUGAAUAAUUCGAUUAUUCCUAAUAAACUCAAUUAUUCUGGAAGUCAAAACAUGCAAAGUGAAACAAUAGCUAAACAAUUAACAUAAGAUAGUAACAUUACUCAUAAAUAAAACUCCUUUAUUUAAUCAUCAAAUGUCAAUUACAUUUAUCUAUUACACGUUUCUAAUACUAUCUAAUCUAUGCUAAUAUCAUCCUUCAGCCCAAUACUCCUAGCAUGCUGCAAGUGCUUAACCCUACUCAGUCCCUUCGUAAGCGGAUCUGCUGGGUUAUCUUCUGAUGAUAUCCUCUUCACUACGAGUUGUCCUUCUUCUACACGAUGUCUAAUGAAGUGAUACUUUCUGUCGAUAUGUCUUGAUCUACCAUGAUCCCUCGGUUCCUUGGUUAAGGCAACCGCACCUUCGUUAUCACAGAAAAUCUCCAUUGGCUCCUUUAUGGCAGGUACGACUCCAAGAUCACCGAUGAAGUUCUUUAGCCAUAUUGCCUCCUUCGACGCUUCGCUCGCUGCAAUGUACUCUGAUUCGCACGUUGAAUCAGCUACGGUUUCCUGCUUGGAACUCUUCCAUGUCACUGCUCCUCCAUUUAGGGUAAAGACCCAGCCCGACUGCGAACGGUAGUUGUCCCUGUCGGUCUGAAAACUGGCGUCACUAUACCCUCGCACCUUCAAGUCAUCACUCCCUCCGAGGACUAAGAACCAUUCCUUCGUCCUCCGAAGGUACUUAAGGAUAUUCUUCACCGCAAUCCAAUGUGCUUUGCCAGGAUUCCCUUGAUAUCUGCUAACCAUGCUCAAAGCGAAGGCUACAUCAGGGCGAGUACAAGUCAUAGCGUACAUGAUUGAGCCAACUGCGGAAGCGUAUGGUACUCGGCUCAUUUCUGCUAUCUCAGCUUCGGUACUCGGACUUUGAGUCUUACUCAAUUUGGCAUUACUUUGUAUCGGUAGUUCUCCCUUCUUUGAGUUUUCCAUACUAAAACGUUUUAGUACCUUCUCUAAGUAAGUAUUCUGACUAAGUCCAAUUAGUCUCUUACUUCUUUCUCUUACUAUCCUUAUUCCCAAAAUGUAAGAAGCCUCUCCGAGGUCCUUCAUAGCGAAGCACUUCCCGAGCCAGGACUUAACCUCCUGCAGAGUCGGGAUGUCGUUUCCUAUGAGUAAUAUGUCAUCGACAUAUAGAACGAGGAAGCUUACUAUACUCCCACUGGCUUUGACAUAUACACAAGAUUCGUCUUCGCUUCGUACAAAUCCAAACUCUUUGACUUUCUCAUCGAAGCAAAGAUUCCAUCUGCGAGACGCUUGCUUAAGUCCAUAAAUGGACUUCUCAAGCUUACACACUCUAUUCGGAUGCUUCGGAUCCACAAACCCCUCUGGCUGAGCCAUGUAAACAUCCUCAGCCAACUUUCCGUUAAGGAAAGCGGUCUUGACAUCCAUUUGCCAAAUCUCAUAAUCAUGAAAUGCGGCAAUUGCUAGCAUCACUCUAAUAGAUUUAAUCUUCGCAACUGGUGAGAAGGUCUCAUCAUAGUCAACUCCGGGAGUUUGAGUAAAGCCCUUCGCAACCAAUCGCGCUUUAUAUGUGUGUACGUUUCCAUCCACGUCGGUCUUCUUCUUGAAGAUCCAUUUGCACCCAACGGUCUUACGUCCGGGCACAUAAUCAACCAAAUUCCAAACUUGGUUAUCAUACAUGGAUUGGAUCUCGCUAUCCAUUGCCUCUUUCCAUUUUGCAGACUCCGGGCCUGCCAUGGCUUCCUUAUAGCUAUUAGGUUCAUCAAGAUUUAUUAGUGUACCAUCACUAAUAUACGUGUCCCCUUCGGUAGUAAUAUGAAAACCAUAAAACUGGGGUUGAACUCUAACUCUAUCGGAACGUCUAAGAGGUAAGGAUUCGUCAAUCGGUUCAACCGGAGUUUCCUCCUCGGGUUGAGUGCCAGCGGUAGAGGUUCCUUCAUCUAUCGACUCUUGAAUCUCUUCAAGCUCGAUUUGCCUCCCUGUUCACAUCUUGUGAGGUGUUUAGGAAACCUUCUUAGUAGGGACUCGGUUAAGGAUAUGGGUGGCAAUCUCUAAGGCAUACCCCCAAAAAGAGAUAGAUAGUGAAGCACGACUCAUCAUAGAGCAAACCAUAUCCAAUAAGGUUCGAUUACGCCUUUCUGCCACACCAUUCAACUACGGUGUCCUAGGAGGCGUCAAUUGUGAAACUAUUCCACACUCCUUGAGAUAAUCGUGGAAUUCAAGACUUAGGUACACUCCUCCUCGUUCGGAUCGAAGAAUCUUGUUUUUCUUGCCCAAUUGAUUCUCCACUUCAUUCUUGAACUCUUUGAACUGUUCAAACGUUUCUGACUUUUGCUUGAUUAAGUAGAUAUACCCAUAUCUACUACAGUCAUCGGUAAAAGUCACAUAAAAGUGGUUCCCAACCUUUGUGGUUGAUCUAAACGGUCCACAUACAUCGGUAUGUAUGAGGUCCAAUAGACCCUCACCCCUUUCACAUGUACUAGUGAAGGGUGACUUGGUCAUCUUUCCAAGUAAACAAGACUCGCAUGUGUCAUCUUCCCUAAGGUCGAAUGACUCCAACACUCCAUCCUUUUGGAGUUGGGCUAUGCGUUUCUUGUUGACAUGUCCAAGACGACAAUGCCACAAGGAUGCUUUAUCCAUACUAGUGGAAGAAUCAAUAUUCAAAACAUCAUUUCCUAAGUUAUCAACAAUCAUAACAGUUUCAUAUAUUCCAUUACAUGGUAUAGCUUCAAAGUAAAAGACACCAUUUAGAUAAGCCAAAAUAGAACCAUUCUCAUUAUUAAAAGAAAAUCUAAAACCUUGUCUAAACAAACCAUGAAAUGAAAUGAUGUUUCUAGCCAUUUCUGGCGAAUAGCAACAAUUGUUCAAAUCUAAACUUAAACCAUUCCUAAGCACUAAAGAAUAGACUCAAAUCUUGGUCACAGGUGGCAAUCUUCUGUUCCCCAUGAUUAGAUUUAUUCUUCCAGCCUCCACAUCCCUAUUUCUUCUUAGUCCCUGCACAUUAGAACAAAUGUGGUAACCACAACCGGUAUCAAGAACCCAAGAAAUAGCUUGAGAUGAAUCGUUAGAUUUAAUUGUGUAUAUACCUGCGAAAGAUGGCUUGAUCUUUCCUUCCUUGAUGGCUUGCAGGUACUCUGGGCAGCUUCUCUUCCAAUGUCCUAUCUUGUGGCAGUGGUGGCACUCUGCCUCCUUUGGGUUAGGGCAGGGCUUAGCAGGAUCAACUUUGGUCCCACUAGAAGAGGCACCAUCUCGGGCUUUAACCUUGCGAUAGUUCUUAGAUGAAGCCUUCCUCUUUUUUCCCUUUCCUUGUCCAAUAGCCAAGACAGGAGCAGCGGGUGGAUUGGGAGUUAGUGCAACAGACUUGUCCAUGAAGUUGCUCUCAACGGCCCUCAAGAGACCUUGGAGUUUGCUUAGGGUGACCUCUUCUUUGUUCAUGUGGUAGGUCAUCCUAAAUUUAUUGUAGCUCGGAGGCAAAGAGUGAAGCACCAUGUCGAUCGCCAGGUCUUCCCCAAAGUCAGCAUUCAACUUGCGAAGACGGUCGACAUACCUUUGCAUCUUUUGCAGGUGCACGGUAAGAGACUCUCCAUGACCCAUCUUAGCGGAAAUCAUGUUAGUGAAAAUCUCAUAACGCUCUUGUCUCGCGUUUUGGUGGUAUCUCUCCAAUAAGUCUUGAUGCAUCUCGUACGGGUACAUGUCCUCAUAGGACUUUUGGAAUUCGGAGUUCAUGGUGGCUAUCAUGAUGCAAUGUACCUUCGUUGCAUCUCGCUCAUGAGUUUCAAAAGCGGUCAUUUCAGCCGGAGUAGCGAUUUCAGGGUUGAUUUUCUCGAGCUUCUCAUCGAGGACAUACUCCUUGUCCUCAUAGCGAGCAAUGGUGCGAAUGUAUCUUAUCCAUUCGCUAAAGUUCGUUCCAUCGAAAGUGACCUUUUGACAAAGGCUCAUCAAUGUGAAAGAACUAGCAGCAGCGUUGUUUGCGUUCGACAUCUACAAAUAGAAAGGACAAAGAUAGAUUAGAAUAUGAAUCCCUAAUUAUCACCCAAUAAGAAAAAUUAGGGCUAGGAUCCAACAAC